rnacentral:tRNA from 1 species
AUUAUUUUGGCAGAUUAGUGCACUGAAUUUAGAAUUCAUAUAUGUAAUUAUUUUACAAAUAAUA